rnacentral:lncRNA from 1 species
UAUACCACAUUCUCUCUUCGUUGUGGCGAACGGCUAUACCACCUUAUCUCUUCGUGGUGGCGAACGGAUACCACAUUAUCUCUUCGUUGUGGCCAACGAAUACCACCUUAUCUCUUCGCGGUGGCGAACAAAUACCACAUUAUCUCUUCGUUGUGGCCAAUGAAUACUACCUUUAUAUUUCUAAUAAAACAUUAAAAUAUAAUUUACCAGUACUUUACUUGAUGUGAAUCUAUUCUUAUUUAACUUAUCAUAUUUAACAUGAAAAAUCCUAACACACUUGUAAAUAAUGUAUAAGUGGCACCAUAUCGAAAUCAUUUUCCUAAUGUGUCUUAUAAAUCCAAACAAUAGCAAUCUUCUUCACAUAGAGUAUAUCAGUUCAACCGUGUUUCAAGUCAUUUCAUUUCACAUGCAUAUGACUAGUUCAUAUUCUAUCAUGACAAAACAUGAUUCUAACAUACUUUAAUUUUUACAAUAAAGUCUAUUAAUUUUAAAAGAGUGCCAAUAGUUCCAAAACAGUCCCAAAACCAUUCCAAUAUCAAAUAUUCUAGAAUCUCAGCUAGUUUGUAAUUAAAUCAUAACAGAAUAUGAAUCUAACAUACUCUAAUUUCUACAUUAAAGUCUCCAAUCAUAAUUUAUCAAUAGUUGGGUAGAAUUUCUUAACAUUCCAACACAUGCCACUUCUCAUACUUAGGUUUACUUUAAAACUCUAGUUUCUACCAAAAUUAAAGCCUAACAAAAGAAUUCACCUUAGUUAUUUGAAGAUGAAGAUGGCGAUGGACCUCUUUAAAUCUUGUGGGUUUCAAACCCUCUUUCCUUUUACUAACCCAAAUCUUGAAGCUUUAGCCUUUAAUUCCUUUCAAUGGACUCUCUAACUCGUUGGAAGAAGCUUAUUCUCCAUGAAUAUAUUACAUGUACUUAGUGUUAGAGAGGAAUUGGAAAGAUUUUGGAAUCAUGAUAUGGAGAGAGUGUGGGUUCGGGAGAGUUCCUCAGAAUAAUAACCUUGCGUUUAAAUCCUUAAGAGAAUUAAAAUGGAUUAAAACAUGAAUACACAAGAG